rnacentral:pre_miRNA from 1 species
AUGAGAGUUCUCUGGGAAAUUCCAUAAAGUGCAGAAUCUGAUUCAGGGCUCUUGAGCUGGGGUCUGAGAUUUUGCAUUUCUAACAAGUUUUCAAGUGAUACCAGU